UACAGAGGUCUCGAGCGUUAGGCGGAAUCACUGGGCUUAAAGCGUGUGUAGGCGGCGGGCUAAGUACCUUGUGAAAUCCCACGGCUUAACUGUGGAACUGCUGGGUAUACUGGUUCGCUUGAGCGGUCUAGGGGCGAGCGGAACAAAUGGUGGAGCGGUGAAAUGCGUAGAUAUCAUGUGGAACGCCAACGGUGAAAACAGCUCGCUGGGGACCUGCUGACGCUGAGACACGAAAGCCAGGGGAGCGAACGGG
rnacentral:rRNA from 1 species